CCCAAUAAUGUGCAGCCAAAUCUACGUCUUAGCUUCUGCCUCCAGGAAACCCAGCCUAAGACAAAGUCCAUGGGUGUCUUUCCAUCUUCCAGGUUGGUGUGUGAACUUUGCAUGUGACCUUCUGUAAUCAUGGGCAUCUGAGUGUGUCUGUCUAUAAGCAUCUGUGGGUGUGCUGGGUGUGAUCUGUGCUGGGUGUGAUCUGUGGGUGUGCUGGGUGUGAUUUCUGUGUGCUGGGUGUGAUCUGUGGGUGUGCUAGGUGUGAUCUGUGCUGGUUGUGAUCUGUGGGUGUGCUAGGUGUGAUCUGUGCAUGUGCUGGGUGUGAUCUGUGCUGGGUGUGCUGGAUGUAAUCUGUGCUGGGUGUGCUGGGUGUGAUCCAUGCUGGGUGUGAUCUGUGGGUGUGCUGGGUGUGAUCUGUGCUGGGUAUGAUCUGUGGGUGUGCUGGGUAUGAUCUGUGGGUGUGCUGGGUGUGAUCUGUGUGUGUGCUGGGUGUAAUCUGUGUGUGCUAGGUGUGAACUGUGGGUGUGCUGCAUGUGAACUGUGGGUGUGUUGGGUGUGAUCUGUGUGUGCUGAGUGUGAACUGUGGGUGUGUUGGGUGUGAUCUGUGUGUGUGUGCUGGGUGUGAUCUUUGGGUGUGCUGGGUGUGAUCUGUGCAUGCGCUGGGUGUGAUCUGUGGGUGUGAUCUGUGUGCUGGGUGUGAUCUGUGUGUGUGCUGGGUGUAAUCUGUGUGCUGGGUGUGAUCUGUGUGUGUGCUGGGUGUAAUCUGUGUGUGUGCUGAGUGUGAUCUGUGGGUGUUCCCAGUGUGAUCUGUGUGCUGGGUGUGAUCUGUGUGUAUGCUGGGUGUGAUCUUUGGGUAUGCUGGGUGUGAUCUGUGUGUAUGCUGGGUGUGAUCUUUGGGUAUGCUGGGUGUGAUCUGUGAGCACCUCCAGUGAGUCCCAG
rnacentral:lncRNA from 1 species